rnacentral:rRNA from 1 species
GACGUAGGGCGCGAGCGUUGUCCGGAAUCAUUGGGCGUAAAGAGCGUGUAGGCGGCUUGGCAAGUCUGACGUGAAAGCCCGCGGCUCAACCGCGGAUUGUCGUUGGAAACUGCCUCGCUAGAGUCCGGAAGAGGAGAGCGGAAUUCCUGGUGUAGCGGUGGAAUGCGCAGAUAUCAGGAAGAACACCCGUGGCGAAGGCGGCUCUCUGGGACGGUACUGACGCUGAGACGCGAAAGCGUGGGGAGCGAACAGG